UUGGCGGUAUUUUAGUCUCUUCAGAGGAACCUGUUCUAUAAUUGAUAUCCWCGAGUUAAAUACUUAUUUUAUUAGUUUACAUAUCGUCGUAAUUUAAAUAUUUUUAUAGAAUUAUAAUAUUUAAGAUUUUUUAAUUAAUAAUAAUUCAGAUCARGGKGUAGUUUAUAAAUAAGAAGAAAUGGGUUACAAUUAAAAAAUUAAUGAUGGAUGAUUAAUUUAAAAUUAAUCUAAAAUUGGAUUUGAAAGUAAUUUAAAUUAAAUUAUUUAGAUGAUUUUAGCUCUAAAAUAAGCACAUAUCGCCCGUCAUUUUCACUAUAAAGUGAAACAAGUCGUAACAUAGUAGGUGUACUGGAAAGUGUACCUAGAAAGACAAAUUAGAGCUUGAAAAAAGAAGCAUUUUAUUUACAUUAAAAAGUUUAUUGUGAAAAUCAAUAUAAUUUGAUAAUAAUUUAUUAUUAAAAAUUAAAGUUAAAAUUUAUUUUAUUAUAAUUAAUUAUAGGUUGAAUUAAAGGAUUUUGAAAUAAUUUAUAUUAUGAUAGUUUAUUAAUAUUGUARAAGAAUUAAAUUUYUAAUUUUAAAGAAUAAUUAAUUUUUAGUACCUUGUGCAUCKGGGUAAUUAAAAAAAAAUUGUUUAUUAAAUUUUCUCCAAUCCUAAGGGGAUUUAAAAAAUUUUUUCUUGGUGCAUUAUUAUUAUUAACAAUAUUAAAUAAAAAAUAGACGUUAUACGUUUUUAAAAUAUAUCUAGUUUUUGAAGAAAUUUUUUUUUUUUUAAAAAAUUUUAUAUAUUUAUUUAGUAAUUAAUAUAAUAUUAUUUAUUUAAUAAUAUUAGGGAUGAUCGCCUGUUUAUCAAAAACAUGGCUUGAUGAAUAAAAUAUUAAGUCUAACCUGCCCUAUGAAAAUUUAAAUGGCCGCGGUAUUUUGACCGUGCAAAGGUAGCAUAAUCAUUUGUUUUUUAAUUGAAAGCUGGAAUGAAGGGUUGAAUGAAAAAAUAACUGUCUUUAUAUUAGUUUUAGAAUUUUAUUUUUAAGUUAAAAAGCUUAAAUUGUAUUUGUAGACGAGAAGACCCUAUAGAGUUUAAUAAUUAAAUUAUUUUAUAAAUUUAGGAUUAAAUAAUAUAAAAUUAUUUAAUUAUUUAAUUGGGGUGAUUGAAAAAUUUAAUUAACUUUUUUUUAUAAUUACAUAAAUUAAUGGAUAAAUGAUCCUUUAUAAAGAUUAAAAGAUUAAAUUACCUUAGGGAUAACAGCGUAAUUUUUUUAAAGAGUUCAAAUCGAAAAAAAAGAUUGCGACCUCGAUGUUGGAUUAAAAUAAAAAUUUGGUGUAGAAGCUAAAUUAUUUGGUCUGUUCGACCAUUUAAAUUUUACUUGAUCUGAGUUCAAACCGGUGUAAGCCAGGUUGGUUUCUAUCUCUAAUUAGUUAAAAUAUUUUAGUACGAAAGGACCUAAAUAUUUAAUUAAAAAUUUAGUUAAUGAAUAAUAGUAAUAAAUGUUAUUUUGGCUAGAUUAGUGCUAAUAGAUUUAGAAUCUUUUAAUGUAAAUUUUUACUAAAUAAUACUUGUUAAUUAAGGAUUUAUUUUUAAUAUUAAUUUCUAGUUUAAUUUUAAUAUUGUGUGUUAUAAUUGGGGUAGC
rnacentral:rRNA from 1 species